rnacentral:rRNA from 1 species
AGAGGGUUCGAUCAUGGCUCAGAUUGAACACUGGCGGGAUGCUUUACACAUGCAAGUCGAACGGCAGCACGGACUUCGGUCUGGUGGCGAGUGGCGAACGGGUGAGUAAUGUAUCGGAACGUGCCUAGUAGCGGGGGAUAACUACGCGAAAGCGUAGCUAAUACCGCAUACGCCCUUCGGGGGAAAGCGGGGGACCUUCGGGCCUCGCACUAUUAGAGCGGGCCGAUAUCGGAUUAGCUAGUUGGUGGGGUAACGGCUCACCAAGGCGACGAUCCGUAGCUGGUUUGAGAGGACGACCAGCCACACUGGGACUGAGACACGGCCCAGACUCCUACGGGAGGCAGCAGUGGGGAAUUUUGGACAAUGGGGAAACCCUGAUCCAGCCAUCCCGCGUGCGAUGAAGGCCUUCGGGUCGUAAAGCACUUUUGGCAGGAAAGAAACGCACGGGAUAAUACUCCCGUGCAACUGACGGUACCUGCAGAAUAAGCACCGGCUAACUACGUGCCAGCAGCCGCGGUAAUACGUAGGGCGCGUUAAUCGGAAUUACUGGGCGUAAAGCGUGGCAGGCGGUUCGGAAAGAAAGAUGUGAAAUCCCAUAUUUAACUUUGGAACUGCAUUUUUAACUACCGAGCUAGAGUGUGUCAGAGGGAGGUGGAAUUCCGCGUGUAGCAGGAAUGCGUAGAUAUGCGGAGGAACACCGAUGGCGAAGGCAGCCUCCUGGGAUAACGCUGACGCUCAUGCACGAAAGCGUGGGGAGCAAACAGGAUUAGAUACCCCUGGUAGUCCACGCCCUAAACGAUGUCAACUAGCUGUUAAGCCUUCGGGCCUUGGUAGCGCAGCUAAUGCGUGAAGUUGACCGCCUGGGGAGUACGGUCGCAAGAUUAAAACUCAAAGGAAUUGACGGGGACUCCGCACAAGCGGUGGAUGAUGAUUAAUUCGAUGCAACGCGAAAAACCUUACCUACCCUUGACAUGUCUGGAAUCAGCGAGAUUUGGGAGUGCUCGCAAGAGAACCGAACACAGGUGCUGCAUGGUUGUCGUCAGUUCGUGUCGCCGUGAGAUGUUGGGUUAAGUCCCGCAACGAGCGCAACCCUUGUCAUUAGUUGCUACGAAAGGGCACUCUAAUGAGACUGCCGGUGACAAACCGGAGGAAGGUGGGGAUGACGUCAAGUCCUCAUGGCCCUGAGGGUAGGGCUUCACACGUCAUACAAUGGUCGGGACAGAGGGUCGCCAACCCGCGAGGGGGAGCCAAUCCCAGAAACCCGAUCGUAGUCCGAUCGCAGUCUGCAACUCGACUGCGUGAAGUCGGAAUCGCCUAGUAACGGAUCAGCAUGUCGCGGUGAAUACGUUCCGGUCUUGUACACACCGCCCGUCACACCAUGGGAGUGGGUUUUACCAGAAGUAGUUAGCCUAACCGUAAGGAGGGCGAUUACCACGGUAGGAUUCAUGACUGGGGUGAAGUCGUAACAAGGUAG